rnacentral:rRNA from 1 species
UACUUAGUGGCAGACGGGUGAGUAACAUGUGGGUAUCUACCCUUUGGCCUGGAAUAACACGAGGAAACUUGUGCUAAUACCGGAUAAGUCUUUACGGAGAAAGCUUUAUGCACCAUUGGAUGAGCCCGCACUUGAUUAGUUUGUUGGUAGGGUAAUGGCCUACCAAGACUAUGAUCAAUAGCUGAUUUGAGAGGAUGAUCAGCCACAUUGGGACUGAGACACGGCCCAAACUCCUACGGGAGGCAGCAGUGGGGAAUCUUGCACAAUGGAGGAAACUCUGAUGCAGCGAUGCCGCGUGAGUGAAGAAGGCCUUUGGGUUGUAAAGCUCUUUCGUCGGGGAAGAAAAUGACUGUACCCGAAUAAGAAGGUCCGGCUAACUUCGUGCCAGCAGCCGCGGUAAUACGAAGGGACCUAGCGUAGUUCGGAAUUACUGGGCUUAAAGAGUUCGUAGGUGGUUGAAAAAGUUGGUGGUGAAAUCCCAGAGCUUAACUCUGGAACUGCCAUCAAAACUUUUCAGCU